GACGAACGCUGGCGGCGUGCUUAACACAUGCAAGUCGAACGGUGAAGCGCCUUCCUUUUUGGUGGGUGUGGAUGAGUGGCGAACGGGUGAGUAACACGUGGGUAACCUGCCCCCUUCUUCUGGAUAACCGCAUGAAAGUGUGGCUAAUACGGGAUAUUCUGGGUCUGUCGCAUGAUGGGUCUGGGAAAGAUAUUGUUUCGGUGGGGGAUGGGCUCGCGGCCUAUCAGCUUGUUGGUGGGGUGAUGGCCUACCAAGGCGGUGACGGGUAGCCGGCCUGAGAGGGUGGACGGUCACACUGGGACUGAGACACGGCCCAGACUCCUACGGGAGGCAGCAGUGGGGAAUAUUGCACAAUGGGCGCAAGCCUGAUGCAGCGACGCCGCGUGAGGGAUGGAGGCCUUCGGGUUGUGAACCUCUUUCGCCAGUGAAGCAGGCCUGCCUCGUUUGUGGGUGGGUUGACGGUAGCUGGAGAAGAAGCGCCGGCUAACUACGUG
rnacentral:rRNA from 1 species